GACGAACGCUGGCGGCGUGCUUAACACAUGCAAGUCGAACGGAAAGGCCCCUUUGGGGGUACUCGAGUGGCGAACGGGUGAGUAACACGUGCGUAACCUGCCCUUGACUUCGGGAUAACUUCAGGAAACUGGGGCUAAUACCGGAUAGGAAUCCUUGCUGCAUGGUUGGGGUUGGAAAGCUUCGGCGGUUUUGGAUGGACUCGCGGCUUAUCAGCUUGUUGGUGGGGUAGUGGCUUACCAAGGCUUUGACGGGUAGCCGGCCUGAGAGGGCGACCGGCCACAUUGGGACUGAGAUACGGCCCAGACUCCUACGGGAGGCAGCAGUGGGGAAUAUUGCACAAUGGGCGGAAGCCUGAUGCAGCAACGCCGCGUGCGGGAUGACGGCCUUCGGGUUGUAAACCGCUUUCAGCAGGGGCGAAGCUUGUGGUGACGGUACCUGCAGAAGAAGCACCGGCUAACUACGUG
rnacentral:rRNA from 1 species